rnacentral:rRNA from 1 species
CCUACGGGUGGCUGCAGUGAGGAAUAUUGGUCAAUGGGCGCGAGCCUGAACCAGCCAAGUCGCGUGAGGGAAGACGGUCCUAUGGAUUGUAAACCUCUUUUGUCGGGGAGCAAAAGACGCCACGCGUGGCGUUCCGAGAGUACCCGAAGAAAAAGCAUAGGCUAACUCCGGGCCAGCAGCCGCGGUAAUACGAAGGAGGCGAGCGUAAUCGGGAUUUAUUGGGUUUAAAGGGUGCGCAGGCGGAAGAGAAAGUCAACGGGAAAAUUGAGAGGCUCAACCGCGUCGAGCCGUUGAAACUGGUUUUCUUGAGUGAGCGAGAAGUAUGCGGAAUGCGUGGUGUAGCGGUGAAAUGCAUAGAUAUCACGCAGAACUCCGAUUGCGAAGGCAGCAUACCGGCGCUCAACUGACGCUGAUGCACGAAAGUGUGGGUAUCGAACAGGAUUAGAUACCCCUGUAGUC